rnacentral:lncRNA from 10 species
ACAACCCAAGGGCAUAGGGAGAGAUGAAUUACUGGGGCCAUGAUUACAAUUUGCCACACUCAUUGCCAUUGGACAAACCAUCUCAACAAUAUCAGCCACAGACACUGACUCACUUUACCAAGGGUGAGGCCACUGUGCUUUAAGGGACUGCAUCCUCCAAUGUCCUUCCACCUUUUGCUGCAGAACCUCUUUAUGCAUAAGCUGAGGAUCAAGAACUCUCAUUCCCCCAAGAAUAGCCCCAGCCUGUUGCUUUUACCUGAACUGGUUCCUACUUCUGGAGGUAUUUCUUCAUUAUGCUCGCAACAUCGUCGUCUUUCCUCCCCGGUCCAAGUCAAGGAGAUGCUGGAUUUACUGUUAUUAGACUUAAUCACACAGCAAAACAAACAAAACAUAAUUCCCAGGACUGAGUGUGGUCAUAGCCUGGGCCAAUUGUAGCUACAGGAAACUCAAUGCAGAUUUAAUGACACCGUGAAUCAUCCCCCAAAGCGUGGAUUUCUCUUCUGUAACAUGAAGAUAGACAGUGAAGUCUAUCUCCCGGGAUUCCUCCGGGCAUCAAAUAGUUACUGCUGCUGAUAAAAAUGGCUAAUUUUUUGUGGCUCUUUCUAGGUGCCAGGCUCUGAGUAAAGAGUGGCUUGUGCAUCACCACAUUACCCCUGACAACAAUCAUGAUUUACUCGGGAGGAAACAUGAACAGAGAAGUUAAGCAGCUUGUCCAAAAUCUCACAGCUGCAGAUAUGCAAAUAAAGAAUUGGAAUAUUAUUUUUUAAUCUAUGUCCGGGUCCAUACAUAGUAAGCAUUUGAUAAAUGCUUAUUGAAAGU